rnacentral:rRNA from 1 species
UGCCAGCCGCCGCGGUAACACGGGGGGCGCAAGCGUUAUUCGGAAUUAUUGGGCGUAAAGGGCGCGCAGGCGGUCUUGUCCGUCAGGUGUGAAAGCUCGGGGCUCAACCCCGGAAGUGCACUUGAAACAGCAAGACUUGAAUACGGUAGAGGAGAGAGGAAUUCCCAGUGUAGAGGUGAAAUUUGUAGAUAUUGGGAAGAACACCAGUGGCGAAGGCGGCUACCUGGUCCGGAUCUGACGCUGAGGCGCGAAAGCGUGGGGAGCAAACAGGAUUAGAUA